GUUUUGGAAGAAGCAAGAGGCUUCUGAGAACUCUGGCUAGGAUGGGACAAGUGGACCUCUGCAUUGCGGCUGGUGGGUCCUUCUGGUGACGGCCAAUUUUGUGCUGCAGGACAAAGCGAACAUACACACGUGGGCAGGUGCAGUGACAUCGUCGGUCUCGGGCAAUCCCUGGGGACACAUUCCAGGAAGCUGGACCUGCCACCCUUUCCUUCCAGUAGUGCUGGUCCCUCUCCCAGGCCUGCAAACCUGCAAAUGGGUUCAGAUAAUCUCUCACAGCUGUGGAGCUCAUGCAACCCAAAUCAUUUUUCUUUUUCUUUUCCUCUCUACGUGAGCUUGCUCCCUGCCUCCCCAAAUCACUGCAGCCACCCAGCUGAGGGGAUAUUGCUCUUUCAC
rnacentral:lncRNA from 1 species